GGAAGGGGAUGGAAUGUUCUAGAAGGUGAGAUGAACUUCCCUACAGGAGAAACCAAAGGUGAAGUGGACACACUUCAAGGCAAUGAACUCUAAUGAGGGAGGCCUUCUUACUGCACUUUCCUGCCAUUAAGCAAACUGGAAGGGAGGAACUCAGCUCCCCAGAGGCCGGAUCGCCAGGGAAGGCUGCAGGAGACCCGAGCACUCUCAUGAGGAAAUGCUUCACCCAGGAAUUACAACUGACAGCAUGGGAUCCUCAUGGAUUUUCUUUUUGUCAACACUGUGGAUGAGAAGGUCAUGUCUGUGACUCAAGAUUUCUGGGAUUCAAGUUCCUAAAUGGCUGUUGGACUUCCUGAAGAAUCUUCCUCUGUCAUCCUGUUGUCUGACUGCUGCAUCCGGAGAGGUCUCUCCCUGUGCAUGAGCUGUUUUUUGAAAAUGGACAAAGAUGCAACAUGAACAACACCUCGAUUGAUGUUUGAAGGAUUUGGCAGUGAUUGUAAGUGACUCUUUGGAAUAUGAAAUGCUAGGAAAAAUGGAAUUCCAGCAAAUUCAGUAGUCUAAACACAGAAGCUGCUGCACCUGCAAGGUCUCAAAUGCCAUCCUGGAAAAACUAAGAAAGGGAAUAAAACUUUGAUGGCUGUAGGUCUAAAGGUGGCGGGUUGCACACUGAGGACAUCUAGGAAAUUCCAAUGUCUAGACUCAGUUUUCUCCCUUAAUUUUUUGUCUGUGCUGCUGUAGACACCUAGCCCUCUCAAUGAAGAUAAUGUCAUAAAAACUUACAAAUCCUCAAAUUUGUGAUUGUUACUAGAGCACCAGAAAUCUGCUUUUUAUAGGGACUUUUUUUUCCACAAAGAAAUAAAGGUUUCAUCAGGUAGGUGAAGUGGUCCUCACUUAUAUGUGUGUGAAAAGCAUCUGGGGAGCUUUUUUGGCCCCCACAGUGGAGAUUCAGCAUCAGUGGGGGUACGAGGUGGGGAUGAAGAGUUUGCAAGGCAUGAACUUUGUUUGAAUCUCAGUGUCUUCAUUUGUGACAUGGGGAUGCCAAACGGAAGCAACCCCACAGGCUUGUGAGGCUUUGGAGACGUGGCAGGUACAAAGUACAGGCACAGGGCCUGA